GUAUUGGAAUGAUGGGAAUUUAAACCUCUUCCAGAGUAUCAAUUGGAGGGCAAGUCUGGUGCCAGCAGCCGCGGUAAUUCCAGCUCCAAUAGCGUAUAUUAAAAUUGUUGCAGUUAAAAAGCUCGUAGUUGAAUUUCUGCUGCAUUGCUUGUGUCCCUCUGGGGUCUGUGCAUGUGGCUUUUUUCGGACGGAGUUUCUUUGUCUGAAUGUUUACUUUGAGAAAAUUAGAGUGCUCAAAGCAGGCUUUCGCCUUGAAUAGUUUAGCAUGGAAUAAUAAAGUAGGACUUUGGUUCUAUUUUGUUGGUUUUAGGUACCAAAGUAAUGGUUAAUAGGAACAGUUGGGGGCAUUCGUAUUUAACUGUCAGAGGUGAAAUUCUUAGA
rnacentral:rRNA from 1 species